UAUCUGGUUGAUCCUGCCAGUAGUCAUAUGCUUGUUUCAAAGAUUAAGCCAUGCAUGUCUCAGUAUACGUGUUUGUACUGCACAACUGCGAAUGGCUCAUUAAAACAGUUAUCGUUCACUUGAUACUCAAUCUUUACAUGGAUACCUAUAGUAAUUCUAGAGCUAAUACAUGCGUCAAGACCCAACUUGCGACGGGUCGCGCCUAUUAGAUACUGAACCAACCCAGCUCUGCUGGGCAACGUUGAUUCAUGAUAUCCGAGCGGAUCGCACGUUUUCGGCGACGCCUCAUUCAAGUUUCUGACCUAUCAGCUUCCGACGGUAUGGUAUUGGCUUACCGUGGCUUUGACGGGUAACGGGGAAUUAGGGUUCGGUUCCGGAGAGGGAGCCCGAGAAACGGCUACCACAUCUAAGGAAGGCAGCAGGCGCGCAAAUUACCCAAUCCUGACAUAGGGAGGUAGUGACAAUAAAUACCAAUACGAGGCAUAUAUGCUUUGUAAUUGGAAUGAGAAGAACCUAAACCGCUUUCCGAGAAUAAUUGGAGGGCAGUCUGGUGCCAGCAGCCCGCGGUAAUUCCAGCUCCAAUAGCGUAUAUUAAAGUUGUGCGGUGAAACGCUCGUAGUUG
rnacentral:rRNA from 1 species